GUGGGAGGGGGCUUGCUCCCGAUUGCAGCGUGUCAGUCACAGCAUGGUUGACUGAUUCACCGCUAUCGGGAGCAAGCCCCCUCCCAC
rnacentral:misc_RNA from 1 species